AAUAAAAUGCCUGAAAAAGGAUUACUUUGAUAGAGUAAAUCAUGUAUAAUAUUUUAAUAUACUUUUAUUA
rnacentral:tRNA from 1 species